AGACGUGGCCGACGCGGCUCCAAGUGUAGUACAUCUUCUUAUCAGCUUAAUAUCUCAUACGGGUUCUAUUUGGACCCAAUAUAUUAAACUUAUUUUUGCAAGUUGGCGGAGUGCUUGAAGCCUGCUUCACCUACGUCGCGGGUCGGCCUGGUAUUGCACUAUCGUUGGCAUCGGCCCAUGGUUU